UGCGCCCGGCGCCAGUCACGCGCCCAGCCUCGCCCCGAGCCAGCCGCCGGGGUGCGGCGCCGCCCUGCGCCCGAGCCGGAGGAGCCGGGUGCGCAGACUGCGGGGCCUCGCGGGCAGUUUUACAGAUGCCUUAUGUGGGAGACCAUGAGUAACCACAUGCCAUAAAAAGAGUUUCAAGGCUCCUAGAGAAUAACUGGAAACUGCCCAAGGUUCCUAAGGAAAAGCUUUCUGGGGAAAUGAAGAAGCUGAAGCCCUGAGAGUGGGUUUAUGCUGAUUUCUCAAGACCCCAAUCCCUUUCCACUAUGUCGCAUAAAUAAAAGGGAGGAAAAGCAA